rnacentral:rRNA from 1 species
GCUUAACACAUGCAAGUCGAACGAGAGGACAAGAGAAGCUUGCUUCUUUUGGAAUUGAGUGGCAAACGGGUGAGUAACACGUAAACAACCUGCCUUCAGGAUGGGGACAACAGACGGAAACGACUGCUAAUACCGAAUAAGUUCCAAGAGCCGCAUGGCCCAUGGAAGAAAAGGUGGCCUCUACCUGUAAGCUAUCGCCUGAAGAGGGGUUUGCGUCUGAUUAGCUGGUUGGAGGGGUAACGGCCCACCAAGGCGACGAUCAGUAGCCGGUCUGAGAGGAUGAACGGCCACACUGGAACUGAGACACGGUCCAGACUCCUACGGGAGGCAGCAGUGGGGAAUCUUCCGCAAUGGGCGAAAGCCUGACGGAGCAACGCCGCGUGAGUGAUGACGGCCUUCGGGUUGUAAAACUCUGUGAUCCGGGACGAAAAGGCAGAGUGCGAAGAACAAACUGCAUUGACGGUACCGGAAAAGCAAGCCACGGCUAACUACGUG